rnacentral:rRNA from 1 species
GAGAGUUUGAUCCUGGCUCAGGAUGAACGCUGGUAGUGUGCCUAAGACAUGCAAGUCGAACGAAGUCCCUUUAUCAGAUCUUUUCGAAGUGAAGUUAGAGACGACUUAGUGGCAAACGGGUGAGUAACACGUGGGUGACCUACCCUAAAGUGGGGAAUAACUUCGGGAAACCGAUGCUAAUACCGCAUGUGCUGGUCUCUUUUGUGAGAUUAGUAAAGGCUUCGGCCGCUUUAGGAUGGGCCCGCGGUACAUCAGCUAGUUGGUAGGGUAAAGGCCUACCAAGGCGACGACGUAUAGCCGGCCUGAGAGGGUGAUCGGCCACAGGGGCACUGAGACACGGGUCCCACUCCUACGGGAGGCAGCAGUUAGGAAUCUUCCACAAUGGGCGAAAGCCUGAUGGAGCGACACUACCUGAAGGAUGACGGUCUUAGGAUUGUAAACUUCUGAACUAGGGACGAUAAUGACGGUACCUAGGUAAUAGCACCGGCUAACUCCGUGCCAGCAGCCGCGGUAAUACGGAGGGUGCGAGCGUUAUCCGGAAUCACUGGGCGUAAAGGGCAUGUAGGCGGUUUAAUAAGUCCGAUGUUAAAGACCGAGGCUCAACCUCGACACGGCGUUGGAAACUGUUAAGCUAGACGGUUGGAGAGGAAAGCGGAAUUAUCAGUGUAGCGGUGAAAUGCGUAGAUACUGGUAGGAACACUCAUUGCGAAGGCAGCUUUCUGGACAAUUUGUGACGCUAAGGUGCGAAAGUGUGGGGAGCAAACCGGAUUAGAUACCCGGGUAGUCCACACCCUAAACGAUGCAUACUUGGUGUCGGCCCGUUGGGGUCGGUGCCGGAGCUAACGUGUUAAGUAUGCCGCCUGGGAAGUACGACCGCAAGGUUGAAACUCAAAGGAAUUGACGGGGACCCGCACAAGCGGUGGAGCAUGUGGUUUAAUUCGAUGCAACGCGAAGAACCUUACCUGG